rnacentral:tRNA from 1 species
GGCCCUUUGUACUGUCGUGUGAAAGUACCCGGCUCAUAACCGGUGUAAGCUGGGUUAGACUCCCAGAAGGGCCACCA